GACGAACGCUGGCGGCGUGCUUAACACAUGCCAGUCGAACGGAAAGGCCCCCACCUUGGUGGGGGUGCUCGAGUGGCGAACGGGUGAGUAACACGUGGGUGAUCUGCCCUGUACUUCGGGAUAAGCUUGGGAAACUGGGUCUAAUACCGGAUAGGACCAUGGUUUAGUGUCUCAUGGUGGAAAAAUUAUUGUUUUGGUGCAGGAUGGGCUCGCGGCCUAUCAGCUUGUUGGUGGGGUAAUGGCCUACCAAGGCGUCGACGGGUAGCCGGCCUGAGAGGGUGGACGGCCACAUUGGGACUGAGAUACGGCCCAGACUCCUACGGGAGGCAGCAGUGGGGAAUAUUGCACAAUGGGCGCAAGCCUGAUGCAGCGACGCCGCGUGGGGGAUGACGGCCUUCGGGUGGUAAACUCCUUUCGUUAGGGACGAAGCCACACCUUUUUUGGGUGUGGUGACGGUACCUUUGUGAAGAAGCACCGGCUAACUACGUG
rnacentral:rRNA from 1 species